AGCAGCCGCGGUAAUUCCAGCUCCAAUAGCGUAUAUUAAAGUUGUUGCAGUUAAAAAGCUCGUAGUUGAAUUUCGGGAUUAGUACGCUGGUCGUGCCUUGUGUAUGUACUGGUGUUACUGGUUCCUACCUUCUGACGAACCGUCAUGUCAUUAAUUUGGUGUGGCGGGGAAUCAGGACUGUUACUUUGAAAAAUUAGAGUGUUUAAAGCAGGCCCGCGCUUGAAUACAUUAGCAUGGAAUAAUGAAAUAGGACGUUCGAUCCUAUUUUGUUGGUUUCUAGGAUUGACGUAAUGAUUAAUAGGGAUAGUUGGGGGCAUUAGUAUUCAAUUGUCAGAGGUGAGAUUCUUGGAUUUAUUGAAGACUAACUACUGCGAAAGCAUUUGCCAAGGAUGUUUUCAUUAAUCAAGAACGAAAGUUAGGGGAUCGAAGACGAUCAGAUACCGUCGUAGUCUUAACCAUAAACUAUGCCGACUAGGGAUCGGAUGAUGUUAUUUUUAAUGA
rnacentral:sRNA from 1 species